rnacentral:lncRNA from 1 species
UAUUUAAUGGUAGAAGUAAUCGUUAAACAAUUGAGAAUAUUGGUGAGAAUAUUGGAAAAAUGGAAAGAGUUUAAUAUAUUUUGUCCUGGAAUGUAAAAUAAUAUUAUUUCUUUAAAAUAGGAGGUGGAAAGGGGAUAUGGGUGGUUAGCAGAGGAAGCACAUUUGUAAGUAAAAGAAAGUAUCUCCUAAACCUAGGGUAUAAGACUCUCUAAGGUGAUAAGGAAAGAAAGAAAAGAAAGAGAGAAAGAAAGACAAAAAGAAAGAAGAAAGAAACAAAGAAGGAAAGAAAGAAAGAGAGAAAGAAGAAAGGAAGGAAGAAAGGAAGGAAGGAAGGAAGGAAGGCAGGAAGGAAGGAAAGAGAAAGAAAGAAGAAAGAAAAAGAAAGGAAGAAAGGAAGAAAGGAAGAAAGGAAGGAAGGAAGGAAGGAAGGAAGAAAGAAAGAAAGAAAGAAAGAAAGAAAGAAAGAAAAAAAGAAAGAAAAAGAAAGAAAGAAACGGAGAAAGGAAGGAAGGAAAGAAAGGAAGAAAGAAACAAAGAAGGAAGGAAGAAAGGAAAGAAAGAAAGAAAGAAAGAAAGAAAGAAAGAGAAAGAAGAAAGGAAGGAAGAAAGAAAGAGAAAGAAGAAAGGAAGGAAGGAAGGAAGGAAGGAAAGAAAGAAAGAAAGAAGAAAAAGAAAGGAAGAAAGGAAGAAAGAAAGAAACAAAGAAAGAAAGAAAGAAAGAAAAAGAAAGAAAGAAAGGAAGGAAGGAAAGAAAGAGAAAGAAAGAAGAAAGAAAAAGAAAGGAAGAAAGGAAGAAAGAAAGGAAGAAAGAAAGAAAGAAAGAAAGAAAGAAAGAAAGAAAGAAAGAAAGAAAGAAAGAAAAAGAAAGGGAGAAAGGAAGGAAGGAAAGAAAGAAAGAAAAGAAAAGGACAAAACUCAGCCUCUUUGAAUCAAAGCAUGAUAAAUCCUAACAGAGUUUUGCAUCUUACCCCACUGUGUGCAUACUUCUGCUAACAAGGCCUUACAAAAGGAGCACUCUGGCCAGUGAGGAGAUAUUCCGAAUUCAGAACCACGAUGAUCUCAUCGAGUCUCAAGGAUCUAAAUACAACCUGUACCCUAACUCGCAGGAUCACAUCAUUAUUCUUCCUGCCCCUCUGCUCUCCAUGCAGCACUCAGAUUUCUGCUCCUGGACACUGAGCGAGAUCGUGUCGGUACAAGUACAACCUUCUGAAGUCCUCCUGAGGCCCCGCACAGCCUGCCCCGGGCGCCUGCCAGAGCUCCUCUGCACCCUGCUGACUCCUGGUACUCUGAACCUCUGUCUUGCUCUUCCUUUCUCCUGACCGCUCUUCUCCCAGGGGGCAUAGCCCUCACCUCCUCACCUAUGCCGCCCCUUCAGGCCCUAUUUAAAGCUGAACCCCCCACUUCCUCCUCCUCAGCACGUUGAAUGUUUACCUAUAGCAUGCGUUACGGUCAGAAACACUUGAGUAUAUUUUAUAGAAUGGCCUUGUUUAUUCCCAGUCCUCCCCCUUUAAAGGUGUGCUCCAAGGGGCCACAGGUAAUUGCUUUCCACUGUGUUUCCAGCUGAAUUUCCCCAGGCUUAAAACAGUGCCUGACAUGUGAGGUGCUGAAAAAUAUGUACUGAAUGAAUAUGGAAUUGAAUCCAUAUUUAUUGAUCAUUGUACCCAUCCCCAUUUACCCACCAUUACUGGAUUCAGCUUGUGGGGGGGAAAGAGUGGCUCGUGUUGCAUCCAAGGGCAGAACUGGGUCAAGUCAGGAGGCAACCGCAGCCUGGGGGGCCAUGAUUAGCGAAAAUGGCAAAAGGCUGGGAAAUCACUGGGUUUUGCUGGAGGAUGGGGAAAGGGCCUGGGGACAUCUGAAGUAGAAGAUUCCAGACGGCUUCUUUAGGCUGCAGGGGCCCGAAAGAAGAGGACAUGGAAGGCAUCGGAGAAAGGUCCUGAAACAAGCUCCAAAGAAGCGCAAGACAGGCUGCUACCCUGCUGACAGGCUGCCCCACGAUGUGCCGAUUCACUAUUUUUUAAAAUCCGUGGACCUCUCCUUCUCUGUCUAGAGACUCUAAGUUGCCGAGGUUUACCUCCUGUGUUCACAGCAUCAUGUCAAACUAUUCACGCCACAGUUUUGUCUAGUAUUCACUCCAAUAGCUUUCCACUAUCCUAGUGGACAGAGGGUUUUGGCAAUUUGCUGCUUAUUUUUCAGUGGGGAAAUAACCUGCUCUUCCUUUUCCUCAUUAGCAAAGAGCUCACCUCCCCAGGGAGACUGUAUUUGGAACUUUGCCAGAUGCCAUGGUGCCUGGCCUUUCAGAGUCAAUAUAAUGCAGUCACAUUUUGAAAUUUGGCAAAAGCUUGAAAACAACACUUAAAACUAAAAAACAUACACAAACACAAAGCAACAAAGUAUCUUUACAAGUGCAGAGUGCAGUGCUUGCUUCUCUUCAUAAACUGUUACAUAAAUAGAAGUAAAGCUGGGGACUGCAUCUACAUUCUUAAUGCAAGAAGUACUCUGUGUUUGAGUUGGAUAAGCAAAUGUGUCAUAUACAGAAAAAUAGCACAAAUGUGUCAGAAUGUGACCAAGCACAGAGGUUGGCCACGCCCACUACACCUGUCUUCUUUGGGAGAUUUACGAGACAACUCAGAAAAGGGGAAAACAUAGGUUUUCCUUAUACUUGCACUUCUUCCAGAAGAGAUGCUCAUUAUUGCUUUUAAAAAAAUCUUAAAAUUCUAGUUAUAAUAAGGAAAACAGUUGACCCUCUGUAUCUGCAGGUUUCUCAUCCAUGGAUUCAACCAACCACCAAUAGAAAAUAUUCCACAAAAAGGGAGUUCUCAUCGUGGCGUAGAGGAAACGAAUCUGACUAGGAACCAUGACGCUGAGGAUUCGCUCCGCAACCUCGCUCAGUGGGUUAAGGAUCUGUCAUUGUCUUGAGCUGUGGUGUAGGUUCAGUCCUUGACCUAGGAACUUCCAUAAUGGUGUAUGGCAUGGGUGCGGCCAAAAAAAAAAAAAAAAAACUAGUUCAAUGCCUUUGCCAAAGUCAGAGGUGGAAUUGGAGUUCAAGCCCAGUUUGUAUGACUCUUUCUCAAAAACCCUGUACACCUUACAUUGAUGGUGCUUUUGAGUGUUCUAGUGAAAGGUUUUCUGCUAAACGUUCUACCAAAAUCCUCAACAAAUACUAUGAAGAGCGGUUUCCUGCUAACCAUUAAGAGAUGAAGACUAAGCAGAAUGUUGUAGCUAUGUUUGGCUUUUGGAUACCUUUUUGUUUCAAUGUAUCUAUGGAGCAAAUAUUCUAUGAAACACAAUUUCUUAAUUAUUAUAUUAAUUGUGUCUUUAUAAGUACUGUGACUAUACCAUAUGUCAUUAAAAUUGCUCAUUGAAUAAAAACAAACAAAGAAACAAAAACCCAUGUUAACAACCUUACCCCAACUCAGGCACUGUGAACCCCCAUUAGGGAGAAGAGAGAAAAGCAUACUCUCUACCAUCAGGGCCCAUGAGAAAAACCUUAGUAGUCAAACAUUUACCUGCUUCUGCUUUGCUGAAGCCCUUCCUAUGACUGCCGCCAGAAAGCUCUAAGAUAACAACUUCAGGUAGGGAGCUUCUGAAAAUACAGAUCCCACCCCACUCCUGUGCCUCUUCCCAAGUAGUUUUAUUUGGUAGAUCUAGAGUGGGUCUAGAAAUCUGUUCUUUAAAGUUUCAAAAUGAUUCUGAUUCUCUGCCAAAUUUGGAAGCCAUGAUAAUGUUGACCAAAAGUUGGAGAUUCACAGGUCAUUCCAAACUUUAAUUAUUCUCUGCUGGUUGUUACUAAAUCCCACGAUCUAAGUUAGGGCUGGACAUGCACCCAUUCAGACUGCAGAGGUAACCGAGGCCCCAGAAGCACUCUCCCUGUUUGAACUCAUUGAAAGUGUUUUAUCUAAAACAAGGGUGCUAGACAUUGAUGUGAUUAGAGUAGAGCUGCUAAGCUGUGACUGAACUUGAACGCAAAAUUCCAGGAGUUUAUCUGAAUUUGAAAAACUCCGGAAUUAAUCUCCAAAUGGGCUCAUGGUCCAGGGACAUUAUUUAGCUAUAGGCUUUCUGUUAUUCCUGAUAUACACCAAGUUAUUCUGUGUCUUUGUGGAAGGUAGUCCGAGGAGGCUCAAUUCAUAAAAUAGCAAACUUGGCCUCCCACAUGGUGGAAGCAAAGGUAAUAAUGUACAUUAAAUAAACUUAAACUGUUAUUAUUGCAAAUGUCAAGUUCAUUACAGCAUAUGUUUCAACUGAAAAUCACUACCCAUUAAAAUCAAACAACCAAAAUGCCCUAAACUCACCAUUUGAUUUAAUGUGUCAACUUCAAUGCUCAGGAGCGUCAAUCAGAACUACCUUCUGUGUAAUUGUCACAGGGUUGUUAUGUAACAAAGAAUCAGGUUUCAAUUACUAUCACCUGCUAAUCAUGAUAAUUAAUAAAAUGUGAAUGAAGCAUUAAUAAGUGACAGAGGCUAUAAAAUAUACUAAAAAAUACUUGCAGUUUUGUGCAUAUUGCUGGAGGAAUUAUUCCAACUUCAAAAAUAUAUGGCAUUACUAUAAUAAAAAUUAUUCACAAUUGGUAAAAAUAAAUAAAUAAAUAAAUAAAGAUGACUAAGUGAUGUGGUAACCUCACACUAAAGCAUGAGCCCAAUAAAUGUCCUCUCACUCUCCAGGGAAAUGUGACUUUGUUGACAUAUUUUUGUGUUCAUUAGGGUCCAGAUAUUGCAUACCUCUUAAAAGCAGGGUUCCUAUUUUUUAAAAAGACAAAAUGAUGUAAUUUACAUUUUUGUCAGGUUGAAAAGAUAACCUAAAGUUUACAAAGUAGGGUAUUAGCCAGCAUGGGAUCUAACUAGCCAGCAUUAUUUCAACAUUCCUUUUUUUUUUUUUUUUUUUGCUGCAAAUAUUUAUAAUAAAAAUUAUGUAUUACACACACAAACUUAGAUUAAAAUAACAAGAUGUGAGAAACAUCUCACUUGAUAGAAAUACAUUAGGUUUUAUUAAAACCUGAGCAAGAUACAGCAAAAAUUUUGUUUCAUGCUGUUAUUAUCUAUAAAUUAUGAUUCAAAAUGGUUUAAUUUCAGUAUAUUAGAAAAUUUUUAAAAAGGAUUAUCAAGCUACAUUUAUCAGGAAUCGAUCUUAGGCAGAUGAUAUAAGAGAAAGUAAAACAAUGUAAUAUUAACUGAAACAGGUACCUACCAAGUUUUCGAUUGCCCAAAAAAAAGGCUUUGGAAACUUAUCACGAUGUUCAUUACCAUAAGUAUGCACUAUUUUUACAUAAAAAAAUCUUUUUUCCAACACUUUUUGAAAAUUUCAAAUGUACAGAAACGUUAA